UUCUUCCUUCCUCUUCUUCUCUUUCUCUUCUCUUCUUUCUUUUUCUUUCUCUUUAUUUUUUCUCUUCCCAAUUGAUAUUUUGUCUCUUUAUUUAAUUCUGUUUCAGUGAUAACCGGUUAACCUAAACUGUAAAAAUAGGAAAAAUUUCAAUUUCCAUUAAUUCUCAGUAACUUCUUUCCUUAAAUAACUCCACUUCUUUUAUUGAAGAUGAUUUUCCAUCUUCUUCCUUCCUCUUCUUCUCUUUCUCUUCUCUUCUUUCUUUUUCUUUCUCUUUUCCUCUUUCUUUCUCUUUC
rnacentral:lncRNA from 1 species